UGCCAGCAGCCGCGGUAAUACGGAGGGUGCAAGCGUUGUUCGGAAUUAUUGGGCGUAAAGCGGGUGCAGGCGGUGAAGUAUGUCUGAUGUGAAAGUCCGGGGCUCAACCCCGGAAGUGCAUUGGAAACUGCUUCACUUGAAUCUCGGAGAGGGUAGUAGAAUUCCUGGUGUAGAGGUGAAAUUCGUAGAUAUCAGGAGGAAUACCGGUGGCGAAGGCGACUGCCUGGACGAUGAUUGACGCUGAGACCCGAAAGCGUGGGGAGCAAACAGGAUUAGAUA
rnacentral:rRNA from 1 species